CGUUAAGAGAAUGUCACUGUCAUUACCCUUUUAAAAGGAUAUGGGAAUACAUUUGUAAA
ncrna:unclassified sequences Transposase-1 RNA